UUUGUAUCAACCUCUGUCUCACUUAAAAGACUGUAUGUUGACUGUAGAUGUCUUGAUUCUUCUUUGUCGUUGCUUUGCUCCUCAUUUUGAUAAGCCUGUGUCUCUCUUAAAAGACUGUAUGUUGACUGUAGAUGUCUUGAUUCUUUUCUGUCGUUGGUUUGUUGUAUCAUUCUGUAUAGGCAUGUGUCUGUAUAAAAGACUGUAUGUUGACUGUAUAUGUCUUGAUUCUUCUCUGUCGUUGCUUUGCUGCCCCAUUUUGUAUAAACCUCUGUCUCACUUAAAAGACUGUAUGUUGACUGUAGAUGUCUUGAUUCUUCUGUGUCGUUGGAUUGCUGUUUCAAACCGUAUAGGUAUAUCUCUAUUAUAUUAUGAAAGACUGUAUGUUGACUGUAGAUGUCUUGAUUAUUAUUUGUCGUUGGUUUGUUGUAUCAUUCUGUAUAGGCAUGUGUCUGUAUAAAAGACUGUAUGUUGACUGUAGAUGUCUUGAUUCUUCUUUGUCGUUGCUUUGCUGCCUCAUUUUGUAUAAGCCUGUGUCUCU
rnacentral:lncRNA from 1 species